rnacentral:rRNA from 1 species
AUACGAAGGGGGCUAGCGUUGUUCGGAAUUACUGGGCGUAAAGCGCAUGUAGGCGGACAUUUAAGUCAGGGGUGAAAUCCCGGGGCUCAACCUCGGAACUGCCUUUGAUACUGGGUGUCUAGAGUGUGGAAGAGGUAAGUGGAAUUCCGAGUGUAGAGGUGAAAUUCGUAGAUAUUCCCCCCGGAGGAACACCAGUGGCGAAGGCGGCUUACUGGUCCAUUACUGACGCUGAGGUGCGAAAGCGUGGGGAGC